UGCCCGCUCUGCCACCAGAACCGACUCACUGAGGGCAAGGCCGCAGGAUAGCUUUAUCUCGACCCUGCUUCGGUAUGAUGGAUAGAAAGAAGAGAAGUUGGACGACGUGUGGGCCUUGAGAAGAAGCUGGGGAGACAACAAUGGAGAAGAGUUUUUCCAGCAAGUUUACAGAGCACUUCAAUCUUCUACACAUCUAUUCUCAAUUUGCAGCUUAGUAUUUAUUCAUAUGCGGUCCAUUUCCUUGAAACUUCCAAGAUCUAGUGACUAUUCCUUUACAACCUGAGUAAAAUCCAUUUUCCCUCCCUCUGGACUAAUUCCCUCACCUCGACAUUGUUCUUCUGUUGAAUCCUUAAGUUGUGAACAUCCGUGACUUGAGAAUUUUAAGCCUGCCAUGUGGAUUCCUGUCCCAAAUGCAGUUUGUUCCAAAUCAUCUCAUCAUA